AAUCGCGAUGUAAGAAGCUUGAUUUUGAUACAUAAAGUAAUGGAGAAUCACUAAGAAGUUGAAUAAAUCUCAUAGGAGUUAGGAUGAAGAAGCUAUCCCACUUUCAAAUCAGGUGAUCCCAGUUUUCCUGUUUGGGAAUAUGACAGCUUCUUUGUCAUUCUAAUCAAACCAGGAUGUAUCGUGAUGUAAGAAGCUUGAAUUGUAUACAUAAUGUAGUGGAGAACCAUUAGGAAGUUGAAUAAAUCUCAUAGGAGUUAGGAUGAAGAAGCUAACCCACUUUCAAAUCAGGUGAUCCCAGUUUUCCUGUUUGGGAAUAUGACGGCUUCCUUGUCAUUCUAAUCAAACCAGGAUGAAUCGCGAUGUAAGAAGCUUGAUUUUGAUACAUAAAGUAAUGGAGAAUAACUAGAAAGUUGAAUAAAUCUCAUAGGAGUUAGGAUGAAGAAG